CAAAGGAAGGAGCCACAAAUCUCAGUCAACGCAUUAACCAUAGUGGUUGGGUUCAGAACUAUGAGAAUAGUUGGAUAUCAUAAAAAACGACCUUUACAUAUUCUCAUUGAUAGUGGCAACACUCAUAAUUUCUUAGAUACCCAAAUGGAAAAAAAUAUGGGUGCAUAAUUGAUACGAUUGCCCAUUUGAAUGUCAUGGUAAGCUGGG
rnacentral:lncRNA from 1 species